CUGCCUAGGAGAGAAGAGCACGCCUUGUGCAAACAUCAAAGCGCUGCUUCUAAGAGGGGACAAUUAACAGUGCAUACCUCCUGGGAACAUGUUACCAAAAGUUAGAAGGCCAAAUUCCCUCAGCCUCUAUCCAGCAUCACAAAUAACUUCAAUGAGAACCAUAGGAACAUCGAGUGUCCUGUGAAUCUGAGAACUGCAAUGGGCCCUAGGGGCUCUUCCAUCCAGGCUUAUCAUGAUUCAGGAGAAGAAAUUGAGGACCGAAGACAUCAAAUAUAAUAAGCUAAUGGAGGAACUGAGGCUACUUGCCUGGCUCCAGUGCUCUUUCCUUUGCCUCAAAAUCUUUACAGGUCAGCCAUCUAUCAUGUGUAGAAUAAGCAAACUGAAUUAACAUUGGAAAUAUUAAAAGAACA
rnacentral:lncRNA from 10 species